UACGUAGGGUGCAAGCGUUGUCCGGAAUUAUUGGGCGUAAAGAGCUCGUAGGCGGUCUGUUACGUCGGCUGUGAAAACCUGGGGCUCAACCCCGGGCCUGCAGCCGAUACGGGCAGACUAGAAUUCGGUAGGGGAGACUGGAAUUCCUGGUGUAGCGGUGAAAUGCGCAGAUAUCAGGAGGAACACCGGUGGCGAAGGCGGGUCUCUGGGCCGAUACUGACGCUGAGGAGCGAAAGCGUGGGGAGCGAACAGG
rnacentral:rRNA from 1 species